UAGGUAGUAAGGUUAAUCGCUGCCUGUGAAAACAGGGAGAGGAAAGUCCGGGCUCCGCAGGGCAGAGAGGGCAGUUAACGGCUGCUGAGGGAAACCUUAAGGAAAGUGCCACAGAAAAUAGACCGCCACUUGCUGGUAAGGGUGAAAAGGUGGUGUAAGAGACCACCAGUUUCUUAAGAGAUUAAGAAAGCUUGGUAAACCCCCUCUGGAGCAAGGCUAAAUAGGAGAGAAUAUGGGCUGCUCGUCCACUCUCAGGGUAAGCUGCUAGAGUCGAUAAGUAAUUAUAGACCUAGAUAAAUGAUUAACUCAGACAAAACCCGGCUUAUUUUACUACCUUUUUU
rnacentral:RNase_P_RNA from 2 species